AAACUUUCAACAACGGAUCUCUUGGUUCUGGCAUCGAUGAAGAACGCAGCGAAAUGCGAUAAGUAAUGCGAAUUGCAGAAUUCCGUGAGUCAUCGAAUCUUUGAACGCACAUUGCGCCCUUUGGUAUUCCGAAGGGCAUGCCUGUCCGAGCGUCAUUAU
rnacentral:rRNA from 1 species